rnacentral:rRNA from 1 species
UACGUAGGGUGCAAGCGUUGUCCGGAAUUAUUGGGCGUAAAGAGCUCGUAGGCGGUCUGUUGCGUCGGCUGUGAAAACCCGGGGCUCAACCCCGGGCCUGCAGCCGAUACGGGCAGACUAGAGUUCGGCAGGGGAGACUGGAAUUCCUGGUGUAGCGGUGAAAUGCGCAGAUAUCGGGAGGAACACCGGUGGCGAAGGCGGGUCUCUGGGCCGAUACUGACGCUGAGGAGCGAAAGCGUGGGGAGCGAACAGG